AAUUAUCCUUUUGGCCUCUCUGUUUAGGUGAUAUGAUGCAGUACAAAGGUACUUGACACGUGACAUGAUGAAGUACAAAGGUACUUCACCCACAUCUUAACGAGGACUUGCAAUCUACAUGCAUAAUAAGCCAUAGCCAUAAUCCUUAUUUAAUCUUACAACAUGGCAUAAUAUUGGGACUCAUGCAUAAGAUCUUGUAUUCCCCCUUUUUUUUUAAGUUGAGUUUUAUGGUUUAAUUCAUAGAUGUUUCAAUUUUAUUACUCCUUUUUAAGAGCAUGUUUGUUUUUGAAUUUUUAUUUUAUUUUUUUCUUUGUUUUAUGUUUUUAAAUCAUUUUUAUAUUCUAAUAUCAAAAAUAAAUUUUAAAAAUAAAAACAAUAUUAUUUCAAUGUAUUUUUAUAUAGAAAUUAUUUUAAAAAUUUUUGUUGAAUGAUGGAACUUGUCGUGAGGUUAUGAUAGUAUAGGUCAAUCUCUACUUAAUUUACAAGCAAACCUCCUUUAUAAAAAUGAGCUUUUUUUUUAAUUAGAAAAUUUGACAAAAAUAAUUAGUAAACUAUAGCAUAACAAAGAAAAAACUAGGAAAAUAACACAGUUUAAAUUAUUGCGCCUCCUUUUAAAAAAUAAAAAAUUAAGAAGGUUGAGCUACAUCAUUAAAAUAAAAAAACUUAUUAAGACUAGUCCAUGUAUCUAUUAAAUGAGACUAUACCUACAAGUAAUUUUGAAAAAUUACCUAAAACCUUGACCUUUUCCUUUUGACAUUGAAAAAUUAUACUAUGCAUAUUUAGUUGAGAAAACCUACCUACAAUUGUUAUUAUAAUUGAUUUAAUAUUCAAAGUGCUCUUUAUAGUUUUUUAUUUAUUAAUCUUCUUCUCCCUCCUACCAUUGCUUUGGAUUCCAUAUCAAAGAUUCAAAAUCCAAGUAUUUCUCCUUUGCCCACCACUAAAUCAACAUGACUACUACCACUCCCUUCACCCACCAUGCACUCUCUAUCCCAAAAGACAAACAACCACUAGUCAGAAAAGAUUCUAGACAAUUCUUUCAAUUUGGCGAAUCUAGGGUUCUUCCAUACAGCACCCACUAACUAUGGAUUUGCUUUGUUCUUGAAAGAAUCUGGAUGCAAUAGCUCUUUAAGUUUGAGAUUUUUAGUUUAUGAUUUGGAUUUAUUUGGGGAAGGAUAAAGAUUGUGGGGGCUGACUUCGUGGGUGGUUUUAUUUUUAGAUUUUGCUUUAACGUAGUUUUGAUAUUAAUUAAUGUAGCUCUGACAUAGACAAAAACAAUAUAUAAAAAGUUUUGAUAUCAAAUAAAAACAACACAAGAAAACAAUAAUCAUAAAAAAAAGCUAAAAAGUUAAAAUUCUUUUGAAAUGAGUCUCCAUCACAAGAAUUCUAAUUCAACUUUUUAUUAUUCAAAUAUUUUUUAUAUAAUAGGAAAAAAACCUAAAAAAAUAAUAAAAAAGAUUUAAAUUAAAAAAAAAUAUAUCCUCAACAUUGUAAGGACUAGACAAUGACUUUCUAGGCCUAACUUAAGGGCUUAACAAUCUCAUAUGGCUAAAAAAUCAGAUCCUAAAUGGAGAGGGUCUCCCAUUUUCCUCGAAAUUUUUUAGCUUUUUGCAUAAAAAGUUAUAUCCUUUACACUAUGUUUAGCCAAAAUCUGCUGCAUAAUUUUUUAAAAUGUCGUUAUGCUGGUUGCCUUUAUGCUCCUCCAUGACUUAACUUUUGGGGUUUAGUUUUCAAUCACCAUUAAUGCCCACAAAACAACAUUCUUACACUAUAAAACUUCUAGUUGUUUCUAGUUAUUUCAAGAUCGUCUAAUCCCCCCCCUCCUUUUUUUAGGGAUUUUAAUAGGGUUUUUGUUCGGAAUUGAAAUUAACCAAUAUUUAACAAAAACAUUUCACACUAGCUGUGAAUUUUGACAUCUCAAUUUUUUAAGAAUAAUGUUUAAGAAUAAGGUUUCAUUAUACCUCCUCUGCAAAAGGAGGGGAGAGGGUUUGAACACAAAAAAUAGAGGUGAGAAAAUUUUGUUUGUUUGGUUCACUGGAAAAUCAAUUUGUAGGGAGAGAAAAAGAGUUGUGGGUGAUAUUAUAUAUAGAAGUAUUUUAGUCAAAGUGUAAUUUUUCAAAUGUAUUAGAAUGCGUUGUUUAAUUUACGUGCUUCUUCUUUCUCGUCUCUGCAAUUCUCUUUUCUUCCUUCUUUUCCUCAUUUCUUGCUAGAGCGACCUUUGUUAAUUUUCAUUUUAUUCCUGAAUUUUCAACUCUUUGGAAUCUAUCCUUGAAUUUUAGCUCAUUUUGGAGAUUCUUUACAUUUUGAUCCUCUUUUCCUCCAUUCUUUUUCUUCUUCUUCAAAUCUUUUACACCCCCCUCCAAAAUCCAGCUACACAACAUUUAACCGGCCCUAUACAACCUCGUUUCAUUUCUUGUCAAGCUUCAUUCUAUUUAGUAAAAAAUUCCAUCUACUCUUGUUGUAACAUCCAUUUAUGUUUAUAGUCAAUUUACUUGAAAUUUUUUAUUGAAUUUAUAGUUUGCAUGUAUAUUUAAAUAUUGUUUUAUAAUAAUAAUUUUAUUGUAUUAAUGCAUGAUUUAUAUUUUUAGGGUUUUUUUGAGAUUCGGAGGAAAUUGAUUUAAUUUGUUAUUUGAUAAAUUUUAGUAUAAUUUUAUAAUUUAAGUGUAUUAAAAUUAAAAAAAUAAUAAGUGAUUUAAUAGGUAUCAAUAAAUUUGUUGUGAUUGAAAAUUUGGGUUUUUUGGAUUUCUUUGGCUAUGUGAGGAUUCUUUGUAUAGCAAUUUAAAAUAAUUCAGAUGAUAAAUGUUAAUUUUUUUUUAAUAAUUAUUAGGCAAAUUGGUGCAAAGCUUCUUUUAGAUUAUUUCUAAUGAGUUUUAUGUUUGGUAAACACAAUAAGCGAUUCACUUCCUUUUACUUUGGCCAAUCUAGCGGGACCAAUUAACUUAACAAGGAAGCUUAAUUUCUCCCACAUGAUGAAGGUAUCAAUCACUUUGUGUCUUCUUUUUUAUUAUUGUUUUUUUUUUAAUAUAUAGGAACCAACUGAUUGAUAUGUGAAUUUUUUUUUGGUUUAAUUAGUUUCAAUAUUAAGUUUGAUUUGUAUUUGAAAUUCCUCAUCUUUUUUGCGUCUCUAUAUGUCAAUAGCAUUGUUGAAGCAUGUAAUUAUUCUUGAAAUCUUGAAUAGGUUAUUAAUUUUGGGAAUGAAUGAAAUUAAUAUGUAACCUUAUUUGUAGCAUAUUAGUGUUAAAUUUGUGUAUUCCAAUAUAAUUGGUUGUUGUUAGGAUUUUGAUAACGUGAUUAUUGUGGUUGGGGAUUAUAAGUUGAAUUUUUUUUUUUUUUGUAAUCAUACUAAAUGAUGAUGGAAUUGUUGACAGAAAAUUCUGUUUAUUUUUUAAUUUUCUGAUAGUGUAAACAAGAUUAAUAAAAGAUAUGGUGACUGGAGUUUGGAGAAAUAUUCCUAGGCAAGGAGGGUUGUGGUGCAUGUAACGGUUGCUUAGAAUGAGUGUAGGAUGAUAUUAACUAAGAUAGGGUCUUGUGUUUAAUUACUAGGUUGCUGGUGAGAUCCAAAUGCCAGCAAAACCAAUUUAUGUACUCUGUGGAAGGAAAAUAUUUGGUCAGGUAUCUGUGGGAAACAUCUUACAUGAUGAAAAAUGCGAGCUGUGCUAGUUCGUUUUCCCUAAACCAGUGAGGAAAGUCACUUAUUGAUCUCACAAUUUGUUAAAACCAAUGACCAGAGUGCCACAAGAAUUUCUUCAUGCCUUUUUUUUUUUCUCAAAUUUAUUCUUAAUUAAUAAUAUCCUGUUUACACUAUCAACAGUAUUUCUACGCUAAAAACAUGAAUCUUGUAGCUGAAAGUCAAACGAUGCUAAGGAAUCUAUAAAUGUUUCUGAGAGAUGGAGUCUUUCUGACCACACGAGAAGGGGAAUAGCUUCUAAGUUGAAAGUAUGAACAAAGAUGCAACAUGGAGGCUGAUCUCUCUAAGGACUGCACAAGGGCAAUUGUUUGAUCUGUCUGUGAUAUCUUUUUCCUGUAUGUCAUAAUAUAGCCUGGUGAACUCCAAGCAGUUUUAGGAAAUUUCACAGGAUAAGCCAUCACCACUAUCAAUUGUAGGGUCUACAACAGUCUCUCCAAGUAUACUGGGGAGACUACAUGCUCAAGUAGCUGACGAAAUUAGGCUUUAUUUCUUCUUUUAUUGUUUGUGGUGGGGAAUUGUAACUUGGGCAAACUCCUAAGCCUCAACCUUAAAUUUUUUCUUUUUUUUUUUUGAAAG
rnacentral:lncRNA from 1 species